UUAUUGCUCUUGAACGAGGAAUCCCUAGUAAGCACAAGUCACUAGCUUGUGCUGAUUACGUCCCUGCCCUUUGUACACACCGCCCGUCGCUACUACCGAUUGAAUGGCUUAGUGAGGCCUUCGGAUUGAGUUUUGGGGACUGGCAACAGAUCCUGAUUUUUAAGAAGUUGGUCAAACUUGGUCAUUUAGAGGAAGUAAAAGUCGUAACAAGGUUUCCGUAGGUGAACCUGCGGAAGGAUCAUUACCGAUUUAGUGAACCUGGUCGCUUUUGACCAAGGUCUCGCGAAACUUGUAUUUAAAACCCACACUUUUUAAUAUAAAAUUAUCGUAUCAAUUAUGAUAAAAAAAGAUCACUUUCAACAACGGAUCUCUUGGCUCUCGCAUCGAUGAAGAACGUAGCGAAGUGCGAUAAGUAAUGUGAAUUGCAGAAUUCCGUGAGUCAUCGAACCUUUGAACGCAAAUUGCACUCCCUGGUUUUCCGGGAGAGUAUGCCUGUUUGAGGGUCAGCCUAAAUAAAAUCGGCUUCGUUGCUGUGUUUUUCGCGGUAAUGCUUGUCGGAAAUUGGGUUAUCUUAAACUUGUUUAAGUAGCUUAAAAUUUUUUUACGAUUCUAAGAACGUUUCUAAGAAUAUAUUUCUUUCUUACGUUCAAGGUAUCGAAUACUAUUAGACGUGGCCGUCACAUCGGAUCUCGUCCAUAAUUUUCUCUUUUACUGACCUCAGACAGGUAAGAGUACCCGCUGAACUUAAGCAUAUCAAUAAGCGGAGGAAAAGAAAAUAACAAUGAUUCCCUUAGUAACGGCGAGUGAAGGGGGAAAAGCUCAAAUUUUAAAUCGGUCAGGUUCUACCUGUUCGAGUUGUAAUUUGAAGAAGCGUUUUCCGCGUUCGGGUUGACCCAAAUCCUUUGGGAUAAGGUAUCAUGGAGGGUGAGAAUCCCGUCCGGUUGACCUUGAAACGCUCUACGAUACGCUUUCAAAGAGUCGAGCUGUUUGGGAAUGCAGCUCAAAAUGGGAGGUAAAUUUCUCCUAAGGCCAAAUACCGGCGAGAGACCGAUAGCGAACAAGUACCGUGAGGGAAAGAUGAAAAGAACUUUGAAAAGAGAGUUAAACAGUACGUGAAAUUGUUGAAAGGGAAACGAUUGAAGCCAGUCGUUCUGACGGAAAAUCAACUUUUCGGGUGCCUAUCGUGGGUGACGUUGAGCCUCACGGUCUUCGUUGCUUGUGUUUGUUGGUACCUUUGGAGUGCACUUUUUCGUAUGGUAGGUCAACAUCGAUUUUAAUCGUCAUAAAAUGAUCGGAGGAAUGUGGCUUCGAUUUCGAUUGGAGUGUUAUAGCCUUUGGUAGAUGUGACGAUUGGGAUCGAGGAUUGCAACGAAUACCCUUUGGGCUAUCCGUCUGGCCUCUGAAAGUCGCUUGGGUGCUGAAAGCUUUGCUUAUAGUAUUCAAGUUGGCGGUCAACAGGUUAGAACGUGAUUACAUUCGUUAAGGAUGUUGACGUAAUGGCUUUAAACGACCCGUCUUGAAACACGGACCAAGGAGUCUAACAUAUGUGCGAGUGUU
rnacentral:rRNA from 1 species